rnacentral:rRNA from 1 species
UACGAAGGGGGCUAGCGUUGCUCGGAAUCACUGGGCGUAAAGGGUGCGUAGGCGGGUCUUUAAGUCAGGGGUGAAAUCCUGGAGCUCAACUCCAGAACUGCCUUUGAUACUGAGGAUCUUGAGUUCGGGAGAGGUGAGUGGAACUGCGAGCGUAGAGGUGAAAUUCGUAGAUAUUCGCAAGAACACCAGUGGCGAAGGCGGCUCACUGGCCCGAUACUGACGCUGAGGCACGAAAGCGUGGGGAGCAAACAGG